UACGGAGGGUGCGAGCGUUGUCCGGAAUCACUGGGCGUAAAGAGCUCGUAGGCGGUCUGUUACGUCUGCUGUGAAAACCCAGGGCUUAACCCUAGGCUUGCAGUGGAUACGGGCAGACUAGAGGCAGGUAGGGGAGAAUGGAAUUCCCGGUGUAGCGGUGAAAUGCGCAGAUAUCGGGAGGAACACCGGUGGCGAAGGCGGUUCUCUGGGCCUGACCUGACGCUGAGGAGCGAAAGCGUGGGGAGCGAACAGG
rnacentral:rRNA from 1 species